rnacentral:rRNA from 1 species
AUGCGCCGCCGCCGCCCCACCCCACCUUCCUCGCGCGUCGCCGCCGCCCCACCCCACCCCACCCCACCUUCCCCGCGCAUCGCCGCCACCCCACCCCACCUUCCUGGAUCGCGCCGCCUACCUUUCGGGAUCGCGUCGCCACCACCGCUUGCUUCUCCGGAUCCACUCGCCGACAAUAUUGACGGUGCCCAACCACGAGCCAUGUUCCUCCCUGGAUCCAUUCUCGCUGGACGCCACAAGCGAAGCCAUCACCGUGCCGCCGCCUGGUCUCCUCAGCCAUGGGAUGCAGGCCUCCCGCAAGGUGCCGCGCGCCUCCAACCCACGGCGGCGUCUCCCGCCCUUCGCCUCCUCCCCACUGCCCCGGCAAGACUCCAUAACCACCGCACAUCCUCAUCCCAGGUUGGGCUCCACCACCGCGGUGCCUAG